rnacentral:rRNA from 1 species
UACGAAGGGGGCUGGCGUUGCUCGGAAUACUGGGCGUAAAGCGUGCGCAGGCGGUGAUGUAAGACAGAUGUGAAAUCCCCGGGCUCAACCUGGGAACUGCAUUUGUGACUGCAUCGCUGGAGUGCGGCAGAGGGGGAUGGAAUUCCGCGUGUAGCAGUGAAAUGCGUAGAUAUGCGGAGGAACACCGAUGGCGAAGGCAAUCCCCUGGGCCUGCACUGACGCUCAUGCACGAAAGCGUGGGGAGCAAACAGG